rnacentral:rRNA from 1 species
AACGAACGCUGGCGGCAUGCUUAACACAUGCAAGUCGAACGCUCGGGUUUCGGCCCGGGAGUGGCGCACGGGUGAGUAGCGCGUGGGAACCUGCCCUGAAGUGGGGAGUAACCGAUGGAAACGUCGGCUAAUACCGCAUACGCCGGGUGUCUUGAGAGAGAUGUCCGGGAAAGAUUAUCGCUUUAGGAGGGGCCCGGCGUCGGAUUAGCUAGUUGGUGGGGUAACGGCCUACCAAGGCGAUGANCCGUAGCUGGUCUGAGAGGAUGAUCAGCCACACU